CAACAUGAGCUUGAAUAGAAGAAUUUACAUUUUUGGCUGAUCUAUCCCUUUAAGUUGUGCCAGAGCUAAAGUUCCUAAUAAACUUGUGUCUGGUUGUGUCUUCUGUAGUUGUGCCAGCAUCUGUGAUUGGUCACGGCCAUCACCGCGUGAUGCUGCCCUCAUCUCCCUCCUGAUCGCCACAUCACACCGGCGUCUGCUGCACAGAACACUUUCUCAUGACUGAUGAGGAGACAAAACGACUUGAGAAAGAAAGAUGGGUUUGGAAUGACAUGAGGUGGCCUCUAUAGAGAAAACACAGGGUUAUGAAGAAACCGUAGGAGGAACAAUGGCUCGAAAAAGGACACCCGUCCUCCUCUGCUCGACUUGGAACUCAAUUUGUCCUCCCGCACAGUUUUGGCAAGAAAAAGCCAUCUGAAGGCAUAAAUAUACAUUGAGCAUCAGUCUGUGGUUUAUGGCAGAGAACCUACGCAACAAACAACAAACGUCUACGUAUUACAGCAAAAGCCUACGCUAAAAGGAAAUCGCACACUUAUACGUAGAUAUGUUUAUUUGUGUUGCCAUUGUGGGCCGCUCUCACGCUGAACUACAGGCCUGAGAGGAAGUUUCCAGUGCGGUUACCAUGACGAGGGUCUUGGAGUACAGGAAGUUCAGUGCUAAGAGAAAUGACAUCCGAGAGGGACGCAGACAAACAUUUGUCCAGAUGAACUGGGGUAACAGGAUUGUGUUUGGACAGGAGCUUCUCUCCGCAGGGAACAAGGCAAAACAAAGAAAAGCCCCCUCGGCUGGAGAGAGAGAGAGGGAUGGAAUGAGAAAGAGAGCUAGUGAAACAGUGAGUCAUGAGUGCAGCUUUGAACAACAAGGGGAAAUCCUCCUAUUGAGAGGCAUGUGCUAUGGAAACACAUCACUCAUAGAGGAUCAGACCUGAGGUGAUUCCCUGUGUUUUUGGAG
ensembl:lncRNA